rnacentral:lncRNA from 1 species
AUCUUACUCUCCCACUUUCACAGGCUGACCCGCUCGGUAGCUUACCGUAACUCGAUAGGUGAAUACCCAAGAUAUCCCCUCGGUGCCACAAUAGUGUGAUGUGUCCUUUCACGGACCACCACAUAUGCACAAGCAUGGAAUGUGGGUUUGAGAAUCCGAUACAACAUGUUUCACCCUGCUCCCUCAAAUUCAAAUAACCCACUCUACAGUGUUAAACAUGUAUGCGUUCACAUAGUACGUCAAUUACACUUACAUUCGCACUUCAUCUAACAGAGUUAAUUUAGAGGUACUAUAGUAUAUAUAUGCUGGCUAAAACCCAUCUAAAUUCUUUAUAUAUAUAGGACAACCCCACUAUACUAACACUUGAACCUAAUGGGCUGAAACUGAAAAUAGAACAGACCUGGACCGAAACACUACUAAUAGGCUUAGGUAUUAUACUUUGCUGAGUGAAUUUUCUCAUGAGACUGUAGUGGACCAAAGAGAGAUUAUUUACCUACCCCUCAAUGUAGACCAAAAUUUUCCUCCGGAUACAAUGUUGGGCUUGGAAGGUAUCAAGAAGUUCUCAAACAAUGUUUGGUACAUAAGUGGUCCAUGUGCUCCUGGCCCUAGUGUACGUAACUGCUAUGACGGGUUAUCUUGUUAAAAUGCAUGUACAGUGAAGACAUUGAAGGGCUCUAAGCAGCAUAGCAGGUUGAUUAACGAGCUUUGUAUAGCUUAAUUUAUCGUCCACACUCCCAUAAUAGAUUUAAUGCUAUCCAAAGUAAUUUUCAGUCUUGAAGGAGAUAUGUAGAUAUAUAUUUGAAACCAGGAAUUGGUAUUUCUCUAACUAUAUUAAUUGGUCGCUCGAACAUUUGACUUAAUAUAGUAAGUUCUGUUGACAAUUCCAUGCUUUAGUUCUAAACACCAAUUUCACAAGGGCGUAUAGUUCUAAACACCAAUUUCACAAGGGCGUAGAACGGUUAUUAUUAGCUGGCUGCCUCCAUUAUCAUGCGAGCAAAU